UUCUCCUGGAAACGGGUGGUAAUGCCGGAUGCUCCGACUCCUCGCAUGGGGUGUCGGGAAAGAUUUCAUCGGUAUGGGAUGGGGUCGCGUCCUAUCAGGUAGUCGGCGGGGUAACGGCCCACCGAGCCUACGACGGGUAGCCGGCCUGAGAGGGCGACCGGCCACAUUGGGACUGAGAUACGGCCCAGACUCCUACGGGAGGCAGCAGUGGGGAAUAUUGCACAAUGGGCGCAAGCCUGAUGCAGCGACGCCGCGUGCGGGAUGACGGCCUUCGGGUUGUAAACCGCUUUUGAUCGGGAGCAAGCCUUCGGGUGAGUGUACCUUUCGAAUAAGCACCGGCUAACUACGUGCCAGCAGCCGCGGUAAUACGUAGGGUGCAAGCGUUAUCCGGAAUUAUUGGGCGUAAAGGGCUCGUAGGCGGUUCGUCGCGUCCGGUGUGAAAGUCCAUCGCUUAACGGUGGAUCUGCGCCGGGUACGGGCGGGCUGGAGUGCGGUAGGGGAGACUGGAAUUCCCGGUGUAACGGUGGAAUGUGUAGAUAUCGGAAAAGAACACC
rnacentral:rRNA from 1 species